UGAGCCCGGCGGAGCCCUGCAGAGCCCGGCCGACCUCCAUGGGCUGCGGGGGGCUGCACCCGGACCCUUGGGGCGCGGCGCGCCCCUGAAUGCACCGUGGGAUGCAGGAGGGUGCCAUGGCCUCCCGGCUCCUGCACCGGCUGCGGCACGCCUUGGCCGGCGACGGCCCCGGGGAGGCGGCGGCCAGUCCAGAGGCCGAGCAGUUUCCAGAGAGCUCAGAGCUGGAGGACGACGACGCCGAGGGCCUGUCCUCCCGACUCAGCGGCACCCUCAGCUUCACCAGCGCCGAGGACGACGAGGACGACGAGGACGAGGACGACGAGGAGGCUGGCCCUGACCCGCUGCCCCUCGGGGACGGGACGUCAGGAGAAGACGCAGAACGGAGCCCCCCACCUGAUGGGCAGCGGGGCAGUCAGCUCCUGGCACGGCAGCUGCAGGAUUUCUGGAAGAAGUCCCGGAACACCUUGGCACCCCAGCGGCUGCUCUUCGAAGUGACCAGCGCUAACGUUGUCAAGGACCCGCCCUCCAAGUACGUGAGACAGGGUCUUGCCAUGUUGCCCAGGCUGGUCUCGAACUCCUGGCCUUAAGCAGUUCUCCUGCCUCAGCCUCCCAAAGUACUGGGAUUACAGUGGGGGCUGUCAGAAGAACUAACUGCUCUAUGGGAAGGGAGUACAAAAAAAGGGGCAGCAGCCCCGGGCACUGAAGCUCAUCUCUGUCUUUCUCUCUUCUUGCUGCCUUGGGCCUGGGUCAUUUCAGACAAACCUCAGCUCUACACCCUCGCCGUGAUAGGCCCAGGGCCGCCAGAUUGCCAGCCAGCCCAGAUCUCUCGCCGUUACUCGGACUUUGAGCGGCUGCACCGAAACCUGCAGCGGCAAUUCCGGGGCCCAAUGGCUGCCAUCUCCUUCCCCCGUAAGCGGCUGCGCCGGAAUUUUACUGCAGAGACCAUUGCCCGCCGUAGCCGGGCCUUUGAGCAGUUUUUGGGUCACCUGCAGGCAGUGCCUGAGCUGCGCCAUGCCCCGGACCUGCAGGACUUCUUCGUGCUGCCGGAGCUGCGGCAGGCACAGAGCCUCACCUGUACUGGCCUCUAUCGUGAGGCUCUGGCACUCUGGGCCAAUGCCUGGCAGCUGCAAGCCCAGCUGGGCACCCCCUCUGGCCCAGACCGCCCCCUGCUGACCCUGGCUGGGCUGGCCGUGUGCCACCAGGAGCUGGAAGACCCUGGGGAGGCCCGGGCAUGCUGUGAGAAGGCCCUGCAGCUGCUUGGGGACAAGAGCCUCCACCCUUUGCUGGCACCCUUUCUGGAGGCCCAUGUCCGGCUCUCCUGGCGCCUGGGCCUGGACAAACGUCAAUCAGAGGCUCGGCUCCAAGCCCUGCAGGAGGCAGGCCUUACCCCGACACCACCCCCCAGUCUCAAAGAAUUGCUCAUCAAGGAGGUGCUGGACUAACCCUUGCCUAGAUUUAAGGCCACUGUGAGGAGAGGGGCUGCCCCAGAAUGCAGGGGAAGGACCUGAUGAGGACAGAAUAGCUGGGAGGCUGCAGAGGGUGCUGGGAGCCCCUAGAAGUUCCAAAAGAGAAUAUGAAGCAGAUCAAGGAAACUUCUGUUGAGCUGGGCUCAGGAUGAGCUUUGGCUGGGGUUGCCUUUGUGUAGUACAGGGAAGUCUGACACAGCCUCUCCAGCUUAUAAACAGCCGGGGGGCUGUGGCACAGGUUGGGGCAAUGUUCCCUUGUUGGUGGGCCCCCAAGCUGGCAAGGCCUCUUGGCUGAAGGCCAGGGACUCUGCCCUGGAGUCCUGGAGUUAAGGGAUGAAGGCAAGGCUGCAGGUCUGGCCCAGGGGAAUUAAAAGCCAGCCACUCCAGUGGUA
rnacentral:sRNA from 1 species